GAAAAAUUAGUUAAAAAUUAUAAUGUUAGAUUGUCAAUCUAUUGUUACUAUGAGUAGUAUUUUUCG
rnacentral:tRNA from 1 species